UGAAACUGAUUAAAUCCUUUUGUCUGCUGCAGGAAAAUAAACAUUGACGAUGGCAGCAAGACGCGAUACCAGGGAAAUCACCAAAACCGGGGCAGAAAAUUUUUUGCCGAUUGUCAAAAAUUUUCUUGGAAGAAUGAGGAAACAAUUUCAAUACAUCUAAGUUCUAGGUCGCCCACCAGUAAAAUACGGGAAUACAUUUAAGUUCUAGGUCGCCCACCAGUAAAAUGUGGGAAUACAUUUAAGUUCUAGGUCGCCCACCAGUAAAAUGCGGGAAUACAUUUAAGUUCUAGGUCGCCCACCAGUAAAAUGCGGGAAUACUUUUAAGUUCUAGGUCGCCCACCAGUAAAAUGCGGGAAUACAUUUAAGUUCUAGGUCGCCCACCAGUAAAAUGCAGGAAUACAUUUAAGUUCUA
rnacentral:lncRNA from 1 species